UUCGCAAUGCCCGAAAGGGUGACGAAGCGACGCCGCGUGCGGGAAGAAGGCCUUCGGGUUGUAAACCGCUGUCGGGAGUUAAGAAAUGUAAGGAUGUUAAUAGCAUCUUUGCUUGACUAAGGCUCCGGAGGAAGCCACGGCUAACUCUGUGCCAGCAGCCGCGGUAAUACAGAGGCGGCAAGCGUUGUUCGGAAUUAUUGGGCGUAAAGAGCACGUAGGCGGCUAUGUAAGUCGGUUGUGAAAGCCUUCCGCUCAACGGGAGAACAGCAUCCGAUACUGCAUGGCUUGAGUGCGGGAGGGGAGAGUGGAACUUCUGGUGGAGCGGUGAAAUGCGUAGAUAUCAGAAGGAGCACCGGCGGCGAAAGCGGCUCUCUGGCCCAUAACUGACGCUGAGUGUGCGAAAGCUAGGGGAGCAAACGGGAUUAGAUACCCCGGUAGUCCUAGCCGUAAACGAUGGGCACUAAGUAGAGGGGUUUU
rnacentral:rRNA from 1 species